rnacentral:rRNA from 1 species
ACACUCCUGCGGGAAGCAGCAGUGGGGAAUAUUGGACAAUGGGCGCAAGCCUGAUCCAGCCAUGCCGCGUGAGUGAUGAAGGCCCUAGGGUUGUAAAGCUCUUUCACCGGUGAAGAUAAUGACGGUAACCGGAGAAGAAGCCCCGGCUAACUUCGUGCCAGCAGCCGCGGUAAUACGAAGGGGGCUAGCGUUGUUCGGAUUUACUGGGCGUAAAGCGCACGUAGGCGGACUAUUAAGUCAGGGGUGAAAUCCCGGGGCUCAACCCCGGAACUGCCUUUGAUACUGGUAGUCUUGAGUUCGAGAGAGGUGAGUGGAAUUCCGAGUGUAGAGGUGAAAUUCGUAGAUAUUCGGAGGAACACCAGUGGCGAAGGCGGCUCACUGGCUCGAUACUGACGCUGAGGUGCGAAAGCGUGGGGAGCAAACAGGAUUAGAAACCCUUGUAGUCCC